CCGGUCCAGGACCCCAACCAAACCCCCCACCAGGCCCCCCAGGUCCAGGACCCCAACCAGGCCCUGGGCCCCAGCCAGGACCUCCCGGUCCAGGACCCCAAUCAAACCCCCCACCAGGUCCUCCAGGUCCAGGACCCCCUGGUCCACCAGGCCCUCCAGGACCCAUCAGCAGCUCUCAACCACUAUGGCACUGCUCAGACUGCCAAUGCUCCUGCAACCACCACCAAGAAACCAAACAAGAGAUAGUAGUAUAUCAGCAAGUUUAUAAAUCUGGAGAUUGGCUGCUUACAUAAGGCGAACUCUAAAUGAAAUUUGGGCAGUUUUCAUGGCCUGUAUGAUCUUAUCUUACAUGUGUGCUAUCGCUACCAGAAUAACACUACAAACCUGCCAUUCAAACAAAGCAACUAAAGUUCUCUUGAACCUAACAUUCAGACCAAUCUUCACCUACUUUUUCUUGUAAAGUCUAAGUCAAUAAAAUAACUUAUAACCCAUAUAAAAACUUCUUCCUCUUCUUCUUUUCCCACAUCACCCAUAAUCAUUCUCAAAAGGUCGAGAUUUUAAAUUUUCAAAAUCAUAAAAACUAUCUGUUGCAGCCAAUGUAGAGCGCCGAUUAGCUCCUACAAGGCCGACCUUAGAAAUCAUAAUUUGAUAGGAACAGUAGUUUAAUUAAAUGAUCUUUUCAUUCGUGAAGCACAACCCCAAGAUAGCAAUUAAAAAAAAAA